CGCGGGAAUUCGAUUGAUGAGCCUAGGUCGGACUAGCUAGUUGGUGGGGUAAAGGCCUACCAAGGCGACGAUCCGUAACUGGUCUGAGAGGAUGAUCAGUCACACUGGAACUGAGACACGGUCCAGACUCCUACGGGAGGCAGCAGUGGGGAAUAUUGGACAAUGGGCGAAAGCCUGAUCCAGCCAUGCCGCGUGUGUGAAGAAGGUCUUCGGAUUGUAAAGCACUUUAAGUUGGGAGGAAGGGCAGUAAGUUAAUACCUUGCUGUUUUGACGUUACCAACAGAAUAAGCACCGGCUAACUUCGUGCCAGCAGCCGCGGUAAUACGAGGGGUGCAAGCGUUGUUCGGAAUUACUGGGCGUAAAGCGCACGUAGGCGGCAUUCCAAGUUGGAGGUGAAAUCCCCGGGCUUAACCUGGGAACUGCCUCCAAAACUGGAAAGCUCGAGUCCGAGAGAGGUGAGUGGAAUUUCCAGUGUAGAGGUGAAAUUCGUAGAUAUUGGAAAGAACACCAGUGGCGAAGGCGGCUCACUGGCUCGGUACUGACGCUGAGGUGCGACAGCGUGGGGAGCAAACAGGAUUAGAUACCCUGGUAGUCCACGCCGNUAACGAUGGGUGCUAGUUGUCAGGCAGCUUGCUGUUUGGUGACGCAGCUAACGCAUUAAGCACCCCGCCUGGGGAGUAC
rnacentral:rRNA from 1 species